CAUGUGAGAGGAGGGAGGAGAGAAGGCCGUAGGAGCAGCUACAGACAUGUGCCCACGGCCCACCCAGUCAGUGUGUGAUAGUGAGGAGGGGAAAAGGAAAGAGAAAGACCUGGUUAUGCUGCUGCCUGGGAGGAAGGAGCCAGCGGGAGUCUACGACCUGGUUAUGCUGCUGCCUGGGAGGAAGGAGCCAGCGGAACACGAAUGAGAGGAGAGAGCCGCAGAGAGUUAUGCUGCUGCCUGGGAGGAAAAAGCUGGCGGAACACAAAGGAGAGGGGAGAGCUGCAGAGAGAGAGAGAGAGUACCCCUGACCUGGUUAUGCUGCUGCCUGGGAGGACGGAGCCGGCGGAAUACGAAGGAUUGGGGAGAGCCGCACUCAGAUGCUGCCACUGCUAUGCAUGUCCAAUCACAGUGCCAGGGGCAUGCUUUCAGAUAGGCUGAAAGCACAUCCCUGCUGUUCUGCGGCACUUGGGCAGAUGCCGCUUCCAUUACUUGUUUCAAAGGGCUUUUACAGCCCUUUGCUUGGACACGCCCCCUGCCUGCCCCCUGCUUCCGGACGAUUACAAUGCACAGCGGGAGGCACCAUUCUCAGUGCCGCACAAAUGUAUUUAAACAGCCAUUUACAGCCAUUUACAAUCUAAAAAAAUUAACAUAAUAUAAAAAAUAUACUUAUGACACAGAAUAUGUGUCGUAAGUAUCUUCUUUGUAUUAUUUUAAUCAGGAAUGACGGGGGAGGCACUGCCUCCCCUGACUGCAUGUCCCUGCUACACCUGUAUGUAGUAUUGUAUAAAAACAAAAGUAAUGAUUAAAGCACAAUAUAAUUCUUUUA